GAUGAGUGUUCACGUUCCCAGCCAACCGCUCUGUACCAAGUGUCUGUACUGCUCAAGGUACUGUGUGUCAGCUGGAAGGUGGGGGUUGGGAGGGAGGCACGGAGAAAGCAGCUUCUCUAACCACAGCUUACAAUGGAGAGACAGGGCAAUAACUCACAAGAGAAACCUGAGACACACGGCACAGCGAGAUUAAUCAUCUACACUGAUACAGCUAGGAUGUUUCACAAUGGAUCCAGAGAUGAUGAAUUCAUCUGAGGUCAAGAUGCUGGGAAGGGUGCCAGUGAGAGUCCCCCACAGUAGCAAAGCAUCUAGAAACCAAUUAUUACUAAUUUGAGUUGAGUAAAAUAUCAUUCUAACAAUAACAAAAGAACAACCCAAUUUAAAAAAUGGACAAAGGGCUUAAAGACAAUUCUCUAAAGAAUCUAUACAAAUGAAGACUGAACUGAUGAAAAUAUGGUUCCACCUCACUAAUAAUGAGGCAGCAAAGACCGAUUUGCACCUAUUUGAAUAGGUUUCAUUUAAGAAAAGGAGAAGAGAGGAAGAAGAGAAAAGACAAAGCAGGUGUAAGGGUGUAGAGAACUGGAUCCCCUGUGUGUUGCUGAUGAGAAUCAAAGACGAUGCUGCUGCUGUAGGGAGCAGUUUGGCAGGUCUUCAAGACCUUAAACAUAGAACUGCUAUAAGAUCCCUCCGUUUCACCUCUGGCUGUAUACCUAAGGAAACCAAAAGCCCAGACUCCAACAGUUAACCCAGCUACAUUAUCAAACGAUGAUGACAUCCGAGCACCCAUCAGUCGCUGUAAGCAAGCACAGCGUGGUAAGGCCAUACACAGCAAUACCAAUGGACUUUAAAGACUUCCCGUGAAGAGUAAUAAUCCAGUUGCAAAUUGUGAACAAAUGGCAUUUGUAGAGGCUGCCUUGAAGAGUUGGAUUCCUAGAAAAUAGAAUGGUGACCACCAAGAGCUGGAGGCAGGGGA